UACGAAGGGGGCUAGCGUUGUUCGGAAUUACUGGGCGUAAAGGGCGCGUAGGCUGUGCUGCAAGUCAGGCGUGAAAGGCCCGGGCUCAACCUGGGAACUGCGCAUGAUACUGCGGCGCUUGAAGACGGGAGAGGAUGGCGGAAUUCCCAGUGUAGAGGUGAAAUUCGUAGAUAUUGGGAAGAACACCGGUGGCGAAGGCGGCCAUCUGGCCCGUGAUUGACGCUGAGGCGCGAAAGCGUGGGGAGCAAACAGG
rnacentral:ncRNA from 3 species